rnacentral:rRNA from 1 species
UUUUGGACAAUGGGCGCAAGCCUGAUCCAGCAAUGCCGCGUGCAGGAUGAAGGCCUUCGGGUUGUAAACUGCUUUUGUACGGACCGAAACGGCGAACUCUAAUACAGUUUGCUAAUGACGGUACCGUAAGAAUAAGCACCGGCUAACUACGUGCCAGCAGCCGCGGUAAUACGUAGGGUGCAAGCGUUAAUCGGAAUUACUGGGCGUAAAGCGUGCGCAGGCUGUUUUGUAAGUCAGAUGUGAAAUCCCCGAGCUCAACUUGGGAACUGCGUUUGAAACUACAAGACUAGAAUAUGUCAGAGGGGGGUAGAAUUCCACGUGUAGCAGUGAAAUGCGUAGAGAUGGGAGGAAUAUCAAUGGCGAAGGCAGCCCCCUGGGAUAAUAUUGACGCUCAUGCACGAAAG